rnacentral:rRNA from 1 species
UACGUAGGGGCCUAGCGUUGUCCGGAUUUAUUGGGCGUAAAGAGCUCGUAGGUGGUUUGGUAAGUCGGAUGUGAAAUCUCCAGGCUCAACCUGGAGGGGUCAUUCGAUACUGCCAUGACUAGAGGUCGGUAGGGGAGUGUGGAAUUCCUGGUGGAGCGGUGAAAUGCGCAGAUAUCAGGAGGAACACCCGUAGCGAAGGCGGCACUCUGGGCCGAUUCUGACACUGAGGAGCGAAAGCGUGGGGAGCGAACAGG